rnacentral:tRNA from 1 species
GCCCGAGUGGCGGAAUAGGCAGACGCAGGGGACUUAAAAUCCCCCGGAGGAAACUUCGUGCGGGUUCGAUCCCCGCCUCGGGCA